ensembl:rRNA 5S_rRNA 5S ribosomal RNA
UAUAAUUUGGCAUGUCACCCUGCAGCCCAAGACCGGUUACUCACUGAAGCUAAGCAGGGAUGAGCCUAGUCAGUACCUGGAUGGGAGACCACUAGGGAACACCAGGUUGCUGUUAUAA